UACGUAGGGGGCAAGCGUUAUUCGGAAUUACUGGGCGUAAAGCGUGCGUAGGUGGUUUCUUAAGUCCGUUGUGAAAGCCCUGGGCUCAACCUGGGAACUGCAGUGGAUACUGAGAGGCUAGAGUGUGUCAGAGGAUGGUGGAAUUCCCGGUGUAGCGGUGAAAUGCGUAGAGAUCGGGAGGAACAUCAGUGGCGAAGGCAGCUCGCUGGGACGUUACUGACGCUGAGACGCGAAAGCGUGGGGAGCAAACAGG
rnacentral:rRNA from 1 species